UACGUAGGGUGCAAGCGUUAAUCGGAAUUACUGGGCGUAAAGCGUGCGCAGGCGGUGAUGUAAGACAGGUGUGAAAUCCCCGGGCUUAACCUGGGAACUGCAUUUGUGACUGCAUCGCUGGAGUGCGGCAGAGGGGGAUGGAAUUCCGCGUGUAGCAGUGAAAUACGUAGAUAUGCGGAGGAACACCGAUGGCGAAGGCAAUCCCCUGGGCCUGCACUGACGCUCAUGCACGAAAGCGUGGGGAGCAAACAGG
rnacentral:rRNA from 1 species